UACGUAGGGUGCGAGCGUUUGUUCAGAAUUAUUUGGGCGUAAAGAGCUCGUAGGCGGGUUUUUGUCGCGUCUGCUGUGAAAUCCCAGGGCUUUAACCCUGGGGCCUGCAGUGGGGUACGGGGCAAACUAGAGUGCGGGUAGGGGGAGAUCGGAAUUCCUGGUGUAGCGGUGAAAUGCGCAGAUAUCAGGAGGAACACCGGUGGCGAAGGCGGGUCUCUGGGCCGUAACUGACGCUGAGGAGCGAAAGCGUGGGGGAGCGAACAGG
rnacentral:rRNA from 1 species